GACGAACGCUGGCGGCGUGCUUAACACAUGCAAGUCGAACGGAAAGGCCCUGCUUUUGUGGGGUGCUCGAGUGGCGAACGGGUGAGUAACACGUGAGUAACCUGCCCUUGACUUUGGGAUAACUUCAGGAAACUGGGGCUAAUACCGGAUAGGAGCUCCUGCUGCAUGGUGGGGGUUGGAAAGUUUCGGCGUUUGGGGAUGGACUCGCGGCUUAUCAGCUUGUUGGUGGGGUAGUGGCUUACCAAGGCUUUGACGGGUAGCCGGCCUGAGAGGGUGACCGGCCAAAGUGGGACUGGGAAGCGGGCCAGACGCCUACGGGAGCGAGCGGUAGGGAAGCGUCCGCAAUGGGCGGAAGCCGGAAGGAGCGACGGCGCGUGGGUGACGAAGGGCUGCGGAGCGGAAAAGUCGGUGAUGAGGGAAGAAAAUAUGUGUAAGUAACUGUCCAGAUCUGGACGGGAGCUAAGCAGAAAGCCACCCCGAACCACGGG
rnacentral:rRNA from 1 species